UACAGAGGGUGCGAGCGUUAAUCGGAAUUACUGGGCGUAAAGCGUGCGUAGACGGUUAUUUAAGUCGGGUGUGAAAGCCCCGGGCUCAACCUGGGAAUUGCAUUCGAGACUGAAUAGCUAGGGUACGGUAGAGGGAAGUGGAAUUUCCGGUGUAGCGGUGAAAUGCGUAGAUAUCGGGAGGAACACCAGUGGCGAAGGCGGCUACCUGGACCAGCACUGACACUGAGGCACGAAAGCGUGGGGAGCAAACAGG
rnacentral:rRNA from 1 species